rnacentral:rRNA from 1 species
UGCAGUCGAACGCGAAAGUCCCGCAAGGGAUAAGUAGAGUGGCAAACGGGUGAGUAACACGUGGGUGACCUGCCUUCGAGCGGGGGAUAACGUCCCGAAAGGGACGCUAAUACCGCAUGACAUCCUGCCUUUGAAGAGGUGGAGAUCAAAGCUGGGGAUCGCAAGACCCAGCACUCGAAGAGGGGCCCGCGCCUGAUUAGCUAGUUGGUGAGGUAACGGCUCACCAAGGCAACGAUCAGUAGCCGGCCUGAGAGGGCGGACGGCCACACUGGGACUGAGACACGGCCCAGACUCCUACGGGAGGCAGCAGUGGGGAAUUGUUCGCAAUGGGCGCAAGCCUGACGACGCAACGCCGCGUGGAGGACGAAGACCUUCGGGUCGUAAACUCCUUUCGAUCGAGACGAAUGGCCUCCGGGUGAACAGUCCGGAGGAGUGACGGUACCGAGAGAAGAAGCCCCGGCUAACUCCGUGCCAGCAGCCGCGGUAAUACGGGGGGGGCAAGCGUUGUUCGGAAUUACUGGGCGUAAAGGGCUCGUAGGCGGCCAACUAAGUCAGACGUGAAAUCCCUCGGCUUAACCGGGGAACUGCGUCUGAUACUGGAUGGCUUGAGAUUGGGAGAGGGAUGCGGAAUUCCAGGUGUAGCGGUGAAAUGCGUAGAUAUCUGGAGGAACACCGGUGGCGAAGCGGCAUCCUGGACCAACACUGACGCUGAGGAGCGAAAGCCAGGGGAGCAAACGGGAUAGAUACCCCGGUAGUCCUGGCCUAAACGAUGAAUGCUUGG